UUCUCUAUUUCAGAACACACUACUUCAUCACAUCAGUGUCAGUACUUCACAGAGCAUUCAAGUGCAAGUCCUGCAUAGUUAUGUGUGCUAAAAUAGGCCACUGAAUUUUAAUCAGACUUAAAGCUGUCCUUUCAUAUCUCAUCCAACACUGAUAGUGAUGUAUUUUAUCACUUACAGAGAAUUACUGCACAUAAAUUGAAUGUCUUGUCAGUAAAACCAUUGUUAUCUAUGUAACAAAAUUGUUACAGAUCCAUUGUCAAGGUCACCUCAAUUCUUACUCAGUUUGAACAGAUUUAUAUUGGCUUUGUGCAGUUGGAUGGAAAAGAUAAACAAAAUACAAGAAAUGUGUUUUAUUUUCAAAUUUAAAGAUUAGUAAGGCAGAUAAAUUGAGUAAAUCCAGAUUUACCUUAUUCAUUUUCAAAUGCUCUCAUUUGUUCAGAUGACAAAAGCUUCAUCAGAAGAGAGAAAAAAAUUUGAAGGGGGAAAGCUAUGUUCUCUAAGGAAAGAAUCUUUUCAGUCUCAAGAACCUGUAAAAGGAAUUUUGGAUUACAAAACCCAGACAAGUAGCUCCAGGAGCUUUGAUGACAGGAAUUUUAAAGGGCAAAAGCAAACCACUUUUAAACACUGUUUUCACAGUGGAAAUACUCAACAUUCAUAUUGAAAAGCUCCUUUUCCAAUUUUCUUUUUCAAAUCAAAUUUGAGAUUACUUUGAAGAAGUCAUGACUUCUUACAGUUCUGUCUUUGGUCGAGAAGAACUUGUUUGUAGAAGACAACGAGAGGACAGUCUGCCACUGCCUAAAGAUCACAUAGUAUGUCAUCAAUUUUCUCUGGUUCUCCAUGCACAUUCUAAGAAGGGCCAAAUGUAUUAAGAAGCUCUCACUGGAAAUGAAGUUUGAAUUUCACUCCAAUGUGUAGAGCAAGCAGAAGUGUGCUUAUUCUCAUGUUCUACAGUGAAGAGUUGAAAGCUGUCUGACUGAGAGCCUGAUUUCUUAUUCUUCUUUCUUUCCUUUCUGAAGAUUGUGGCUGCCAGGGAAAGAUUCCAUUGCAAAGAGACACCUUGAGCCAUUUCUUUGAUGGGGAGCAUCAUGUGAACUAAUAAUCUGGCUUUACAGUUUCUCUGAAACCAGUGAAAUGAGUGAUGUUUUAAGUGAGUAUGUUCUUGGCGGCUGCUGAACAAGCACAGCUGUUUUGGUGUAGCUGGAAUGUAGUUCACUUCUGAAAUGCUUGUGUUUAAGGUAGUCCAAUGCAAAGAUGAAGAGGAGGAAUUGGCAGAGUCAGGGUGACAAAUAAGGGAUUAGGCAGAUCUUUUGUGUUCUGCUUGGAUAUCACUACCAUAAAUCUCUGCUUGAUGAGGCUAAAUCUAGAGCCUUCAGCCAUUCAGAAUUCCUGGACCAGAUGUCAGACCCAUCACUAGAUGAUAAUCCUGUCCUGUGCAGCCUCUCUUCUGUGUGAAAGGAGGAGAACUAGGAAUCUUCCGACGAACGUGAAAGCUAAAAAAGUGCAAUUAUUGUAGCAAGAAAUUAAUUCCACCUCUGCAGUAGCAAUAAUCUCUGUAAAGUUUGCCCAGCAGAUACCAGAAGUGAAUUAACACAGAGCUUGUGAAAAAUCAAAGGACCUGAAUAUAUAACUGUUUCAAAUACUUCAUUGCUGAAUGAUUGCUUGAAAUAGUUAAAUUUUUUUCAUUAAUUUUUACUGUGAAGAUCAUGAUUUUAUCCUCUGAAUCUCUGAGAGAAUAGUGUGUUAGACUGUCUUUGUGAAAAUCAGAAAACAUCCAGAUUAAAAUUGGGCCACAGUGCACAGUAAGGGCCUUUCACUCAAACAGUGGGGUUUAAUUUACUUAUUUUAAAGAUGUUCCAGGUUUAGCCUCUUUGCAUCUUCUUUUACCUCAUCUGAUCUCUUCCUGUUUAUUGUCCCCAUCAGUAAGAGCAUUAUGCUUGUUUACAGCCCCUUUCUGUUUUAAUUUUAAAUUUGACCUGACGUUAAGCUGUUCCUUUUUGUACUGGAGGGGGAAAAAAAUCUAAGUCAUAUGGUAUUAUCUUUCACUUUCAUUGCACCAUCUGGAUUCCUGGAGCUGGAGCUGAAAACUGUCAACAUCUCUUGAUGCAAAGCAAAUAGACUCAGCUAAAAGGGAAGUUCAAGCUGGAGAACCAUCCUGUCAAAAGUUUAGAGCAGUUCAACACUGGAGGAAGGAAAUCAUCAUCUGUCAGAAGAGGCCAUCCUGCCUAAAAGCCAUAGCUUUAGGUACCUAAUGCUUUCCUUUACAGAUUAGUCUCAUAUUCAUGAUUUCAGUGGAAAUAAGGUUUUGGUUCUAUUGAAAUUUAUUUUUAGUCUACUGUUUGCAAAGCUUGUGUUCCAAACAAGAGGAAAAGGUCUAGUUUCUCAUAUCUGGACUUAAUUUCAGAAAACUACAAGAAGGAGAUGUUGCUCCAUAGUUCACCCCGUCAAUAACAAAAUUGGUACCCAUAUGAUUUUGUGGCACUCAUAAUACAAGUUAAUUCCAGGUCAUUCCGAACUCUACAGAAUGCAAUGAACAAUCCACAUAAUUAUGUAGAUUAUAUACCUCUUAAAUACCUUGAAUUAAAGCAUUAAAUAAUCCAAAUAAACUAACACUGUCAUGUAACAAAGCAUUUGAAAUGCCUUAUGACUUUGGCUUUUCUGUAGGAUCAUAAGCACUGAAAAAAAUAGAGUUCAUUAGCAAUAUUUAUUCUUUAUCACUAAGAAAAAUCCUGCUUGAAACUCUAAGGACACACUGAAAAGUAAGCUUGUGUCACAUGGUUGAGUGCUCAUUCCAAAUAAUGAUAAUUUUAUCAGUCUAGAAUAUUACUUGUUAUUUUAUGUUCUUGGCAAUUAGUGUAUCUCAUUUAAAAUAUUUAUUUUUCCUUUUGGCUGAGUUUCUCUACAACAUUGGAACAGUUGUCUUAAAAAUGACAGUCUCUUGGGCAAAAUAAAUCAAGUCUUGGAAUUAUGUCAAGACUUUUAACUGAAGAUGAAUUUUCAAAGCAGUCUUUGUGCAAAAAAUGAAACUUACUUUCCCCUUUCAAGUCAUCUUUCUACCUACUGCUUCUCUGGUGUUUCUCUCUUUUAAACAAACAUAUGCUCUCUUUCUUUCUGACUGGAAGUCUUCCAAAGUUUGGGGGGAAGUCUUACAGGAAAGCCUUCCAAAACAUAUGUAGAACUUGUUCUUCCUGUGCAGAUAAAACCCCCAGAUGUUUUUAAAUUCAGACUAUCUGAAACUGGAAAGCUCUAAUUGGUUUGGGGCACUUUUUAAUUAAAACAUAGAAUUUUGAUGGUUAUUUUUUACAUUAUGAUUUGCAUCAAGGAUUUUGCUUCACUGUACAUAUUUCUUCCAGUAGGUUCCAGAUUUACCUUAGUUUAAAUGUUUAUUUGAUUCUGAGGCUUCCUUAUCAGAUUAUCAUAUGGAAAUCAGUGCAGUACAUGCCUUUCAUGAAGUUUUCUGUAUGGCUUUGAUUUCAAAACAUCUGUCUUUUGAGUUACAAAAUUAAUCCAGAAGACCUAGACAUGUAAGAUACAAUUUAAAUUCUUUCUCAGAUAUAGGCUUAGAUUUUUCUGGUGUCCUGGAGUCUAAUUGCAUGUUUUUUGAAUCUCAUUUUUUCUUGUGUGACUAUUGAUAUAGCACAUCAAUGGAAUCUUAGAAUAAUGCUAAUUAAUAGAUUAGAAUUUUACAGAAGUGCAAUAUCACAAGUUAAUUGAGCAAUGACUAAAAUGAUUAGCUGUAAUUAACUUCACAUUUCUUUCUGGUUCUCUUCCUUCAGGGAGCAUACAUUGGACUCCUAGCUUUUUGUUACUAACACUAUUAAAUUUUUUAUUCUUUCAUUGAUUCCCUGGGGGUAGUCAACCCACCCUGUCAAGCAGAAAUUUCUUUUGGGGUAUCAGGGACCAGAGAUGAGCAAAAGUAAUCAAGCCUGCAAUGUACCAUCAAUAAUAUUCCUAACGUCACUUGAAGUGUGUUGCUAAGAGAAGUUGCUGAGUUACUGUCCUAGUGUGGAGUUGGGUGGUUUCAUGUUUUGCAUGUACAAUAAUAACGAUUAUUAUUAUUAUUAUUAUUAUUUCUUCUAGACUAUGUUGACAUCCUGCUUAACAAGGAGACACACAGAGGUAGAUGACUAUCAGCUUUAGGACCUAACACACAUGCUGACUUCAAGUUUUCAUCACAUCUAUUACACUAUUCUGCCACGUAUUGGGAAGUGCUCUGAUUUUAAUGAGACAAACUUAGAAACGAGUACUAUCAAAUCAGAAGGUAGUUUUUAAUCCAGAGGCAUAUACAGAUGCUGUCAGUGAUGCUAAAGGUGUGACCAGAAUCCUGUGUACAUUCCAAAUGGGCUUUAAAAAUAAUGUUAACAUACCCAAAAAUGCAGGCAUUGGGAGAAGGGUGAGUAAUUCAAAGUAUGUGUUUCUGUUUCUUUUCUUCUCCCUGAACAGGCAUAUUACUCCCUGACUUCCACAGAAGGUAGGUACUAAUGUUUCCUUACACCUUUCAGUAACAAAAAUCAAUGGAAUUGAAGUCAGUACUCCUAAGAAGGGUAAGUAUGAACUUUCCAGCAUUCCCAGGAGCUAUUAAGUCUUCUUAUGCCAUGAGCCUAAUUAAAUUACCGUACAAAAAAUUAUUUUUGUUAGGCAUGUAACCCAUGUAGUAUGAAGAUUUUUGCAUAAUAGCUGAGGAUUACCCUGGAUUCAGAAGGUCCACUACUGCUCAGGAGGUAGGAAGCUCAAUUUUUAUUUUCACUGCUACUAUAUGACAUGCUAUAUCUGAGAAUUGUACUGUGAAACCAAAAGACACAUGUAUAAAACAUGAUAAAAACCAGAUUAUUCAGGAUUGAAUUGAGAUUUUACUUACUGAAGGCAAGGAAUUAAAGGUUUAGAAUAUAAUAUUUAAUAGGCAAGCAGACAUUUCAAUCAAUGCCAAAAUAUUCAUCUUUGUAUAUACAGAGUCAGAAAAUUCACAUAUAUAUAUAUAUAAAAGAAAAUAAAAAAUAUUUCUGAAAUACUUUAUAAAUAUCUAAAAUCCAAGAAGUUAAAAAUCUGUACUUCCUUAUAUGAUAUACAACAUAUUAAGUUGCACAUACUUAACAUUUCAUAAGAGAAAGUUAAUUCUUAACUCCUUAUGGCUACAUUUGUGAUCUAGACUCCUGAACUGAAUUCCUGGUCUGAAGAAUUCAAGAUGCAAAUAAGUAGGCAUGACAGUGAAAAGAAUUAUAACAAAGUAAGUCAGAUCAACUAAACUAUGCUUGGAGUAUGUAGAUCAGAACAACUAGAAUGAAAAAAAAUGACCUCUACUACUAAACAAUAACAAAAAAAGACUUCAGAGCAGUAUGUUUAUAGUACUAAAUAAAUACUGUUACUAGUGCUUACAGAAUCAGAAUAGUGUGGUAGCAUCUUCCCACAACAGAUUUUCUCAUCUAUCUCUUUGUUAUUAGGAUGUAAAUGUUUGAGCACUGUCACUGAUCUAGAAACAACACUAAUCUUUUUUCCCCUGAAAUUACUCUUUUCAAAAAAUUUUCUAUUUAAGAAAAGCCAAAAGUAAUGACCCAAACCAAUUAUUUAUCUCUUGGAUGAUGUAAAAGGUGUUUGGCCAUAUUGGUGAAAAUGAAUUCCUUGGGAUGCUGUGAUCUUCAUAACUUCUCCAUUUAGAGUAUCAUCUUCAAUUAUUGUUAUCAAUCCCUCAGCAAUUAUUGAUGGGCUGAAAAAAAAGUUAUUUCAGAGUUAUGAUAUAAUAGAACAUGCAAAAAGGAGAAGAAACUCAAUGUAAAUCUAUAUAUCUGAAAAUUUUAAAAAAUGGUAUUUGAACAAAUUUAUUUUGAGGAAAAGCAGAGGUGGUAUACAUAUUUCAAGAGAGAUAUGUAUUCUCCUCAAUCAAGACAUACAUCUAAAGUGGUUACUUUACAAAUCAUCAUUUGAUUGCUCUAGUUUCUGAUAAAUGCCUGUGGACAUCCAUCUGCCACUGGGCUUCCUAUCAGUGAAAUGGACAGAAGUAAUCCUUACACAAUCUUCUGCAGCUCUUUGCUGUUGAUUUACCCUGCUUCUGUAGCAGAGCUAACAUACAAAUUAGCAUAAAGGAUAAUUUCACAUGCAGUUUGCUGUGGUCAAUAAGCGCAAAAUAUUUUACAUAAAGAAAAGUAUAGGUGAAACAACACAGUCAUACAAUUUCCUUUGUGCAAAAGCAUCUUGGAAGCUAAUAGUAAGAAGCUAAAAAAUAUCACAGUGAUAAGAAGCUAAAAAUAUCAUAGUGAUAUUAAAAAAUAUCAUUAUGCUUGCCAUGUUCUCACAGUCUGUCCAAGCUGUCUGCUUUUGGCCUUUGUUGGCAAGACAGUAAUGGGCAAGGUAACUCUGAUCUAAUCCAUUGUGGCUGCUAUUGUGCUCCUAGUCCAGUUUUGUCAGUUCAUGGUCUGAUUUCUAUCUUGGUUCACUUGACAAUUUUGUGAAAAUUCUGUGCAAAUGAUAUACCCUGUAUCUCACAACAAGUUUGAUUAAACAAAUUCAUGAGGGAAUACCAAAGGCUAUUAAAAACUAAAAGAACUAUACUUAACUUGCUAAUUUGAUUUGGACCUUGCUAGGAAAUGGGAAUGCAUAAAACGAUAUAUUACUGUGCAGAUGGUGUUCUUAAAAUAGGCUUAGAUAUCUGCCAUUUUUUCUUUCUAUACAGAUAAUGCAUUUGAUAGUCUUUUAUCUGAGGCAGUAUUUCCCUUUUGUUUAAUUUUGCUGAGUGUGUCCUUGUUCUUCAUCAACAAAGUGCAAAACCCGCAUUGUAUCUGACUUGACUUACUCCAUCACGCCAUAGAACUGCAUCAUAUUUUUUAUCUCAUCCUUGUAUGAAUAGUAUUGUCCCAUAUUCUCUUCUUUAUCUAUUGACUGAAGAAUUGGUGUGUUGACAAAUCCUGGACAAAUUGUGUUCAGUCUCACACCAUAGUUGUCCAUGUUAGCAGCUAACUAGAAAAGAGAAAGGGUAGGCAUUUGUCAUCAACAUUUUAAGACAGUAUUGUGUAAGCAGAUUUUCAAAGAAUGAGAUUUACCACAAAGUACUUUUCAGCCUUGCUAUGUAAGGAGAUUUUGUUACUACUGAUUGUUUUAACAACUAAGUUUGAAGCACAUUUUCUCUAGUAAUCAUACUAGAUUACUGGGAAAAAACCCCACAUUUCUUUUGUUAGGAGAAUAAUUCUACGAGAAAUCAGAACUCUUUCCAGUAAGCUGUUUUUUUCCUAAUACUUUUUGUUCUUAGUGCUCUUUAGCAUGUCAUUGACAGUAUUCUGGGAUGAUGAUACAACUCUUCUAAGCAAAAUCAAGAAAGGUUCUCCCAAAUGUAUGCUUCUGAUUUUAGAGGAGCUUUCUUUUAUUAAAAGAAAACUCUGAAAUAAAUAAAAUAAUCUUUAAGAUACUGUAUUAAGAUACCUUCCUCACAUCAACAGAAAUACAAUAUGUUCUCUACCCCUACAACUGUAAUGCUAAACCUUUCUACUUGCUCUGUUGUUCCUGCCAAGGUAUGAAUCUAUCAGUGAGCAUCUCCACUGGAAAGUCCCUAUGAACUGAAUUUUCAGGAAAUAGCUCAGGAACAUAAUGCAAGAAAGAAGCACAAGUUGUUCUGGGAGAGGUAGGACCCCUUGUUUGUGGUUCUACCAAAGUGUGCAUGUAGCAAAGAAGUUUGAUGAACAUCCAAGCAUGAGUCAAAUGAACUGGAUGAACUGGAUGAGCUGGAUGAACUUUCAGAACUAAUGAACUACACACAAUGUAUCCAAGAAUAACCAUAACUGUUAAACACUGUAUUCUACUUAUUUUAACAUUCAAUGGACUCCUUUCAGGUAUUAUGUAAGUCACAUGUCAUUUUCAUGGCAUGAUAGCCUGCCCUUUUGGUCUGGGGAGACAAGAAACUGAAGCCCUGGAUGUAAGGUAUGAGAACUGCCCAACACCAGGCUGUAGUGCCUUUCCUGGUAAAUACUGUAGUUCACUACGUUUACUAUUCUUUUUUCCUUGUCAUUCACAUGUUCCUUAAAUACAGCAUUUCCUCUAAUUUACUUUUCAGCUUAGAUGGUGACAUUUAUAUUUCUAAUGAGAAAACAAAAAUAGAAAACUAGGUUUCAUGUUACUGAUGUGCUUAAUGUGAUAUAUGCAACACUUAUCCACACUAUUCUAUUUAUGUUAAUCUGAAAAAAGGAGCUAUUUGUGUGGGGAUGGGGGCAUAAAAUAUGGAUAGACUGUAAUUGAUGUAAUUAAAUUGAUGGUGUAAUUUCAGGUGUUUCAUUCUGGAAAUCAGACUGGAAAUCUUAGUUAUGCAGAUUACCUUUAACAUUUACCUAUUAAAGUGUAAUUGUAUUUUCUCCCUCCAAGUUGUUUUAUUAUACUGCUUGUUAAAUUUUACUAGAAAGUUUUGGAGUCAGAGGCUGAAAUUUAUAAUAUGGUCAUUUUACAUGCCACAUCCUGAAUGCAUUAUUUUUCCUUUUCAGAAUAUUAACAGUCAGUAAGAAUAAAUAAUGAUGUGUUCAAGUAAGUAUUUUAUACUUCAGUGCCUAUUUACCAUAAAAAAAGUCAUUGACCUGACUUAGAAAAUAAGGAAACCAAAAUUUUAAAUGACUAGGACAGGGUUCUGAAAAACUAUUUUUAAAACUUGGAUUAGAAUUUUGCUUUUGGACUCCUCUCACUUAAAUUACUCUUAAAUUACUCUGCAACAUCUUUCUUCUAUGCUCUCCAAACCUCAAAUGGGUCAUAAACACACAGACGCUGUACUUAUUCCAUCUUCGGAUUCCCUUUGUGAAAGGAGGGAACCUCCACUGCUUCACACACUUUGUUUUCUUUCAGAAAAUUAAUUCCAGUUGUGUGGCUAUAGAGGAGGAACAUGAAAACCUAAGUGUGUUCCCAAGGAGCUGCUGACACCCUUUUGGAAACUGCAUACUUACUGCUAUGGACCGUGUGAAUCCAAUGACACCGUGCUUUGUAGCACAGUACACAGGCUGGAAUGCAGCAGGCAUGAGUCCUUUAAAAUAAAAAGAUCUUAAUGUGAUACUUUCAAGAAGGGGUGUGACUUACCUCAGUGGAGAUGCAGAAUUCGCUAUCUAGCUCUAAGGAUGGAUUUGCCAGAAAAAUUAUAUAUGCCAGACUUGCAUGGCCUCUUUGCACUGGGAUCUAUUUUGUCUGACAGAAAUAACUUAAUAAGACAGCCCAAAGCUCUAAUUACCAGCCUGACAGCUUUAAAGUUUUAUCUUGAUUUAAACACUGCCUUCAUGAUCCUGUGAAAGCAGCACUGUUCAACACUGGGAAAUUAAGAAUUUAACCUAUUGUCUGGUUGUUCUUUUAAAAGUGUAUUUAUUUGCUUAGCUUGGAUUAAUGUGUUAUGCUUCUGUUUAAGAACUCAGUUUAUGAAAUGGCUCUUGUACUGUCUCCUGUGGGUUGUGAUCACAACAAAUGCUUAAUAUUCCUCUGUUUGUUGACUUUUUGUGAUCACCAUACUUGAGAUCACUGGAAGCACUGGAAUUCUGGUGCAUUAGAAAGAAUACAAUACUAUUUUUCAAAAACCCAAACUCUCAAGUACUUUUACAUGCUUCAAAUAAAGGAAAUUCUAAUCAGGCUGCAGUUAACAGAAAUAAAACAGAGAAUGUCUAUGGGGAAACAUACAGGAAGAAUUUAGAAGUAAUUCUAUUUUUAUUUUUUAAACAUAGUAAGAAAAAUUACCUUUUACUUGAGAGGGAAGAGAAACAAAGUCAAGAAAUAAACAAAGGAAGAGCACUGCUCAAUAAUGAAGCAGAAUAAGGUUCAAAGACUUACUUAAAUGCAAAAGACAGCAGGAAUAACUAGGCAGGAAGAGAGGAACAAGUAGUGUUUUAUUUUUUUUUUUUAGGAAAACCAAUUCUUUCUUGAUUGAAAUUAUUAUCUUUGCUGAAGUAGAGAACCAAGAAAAAAUCAUCUCAAUUUUGGAUAAAGCGUCUAAGACUAGUCCUAGAAUUCCUCACAUAAAACCGUAACAGUCCUGUGUCACUUUUGUUCCUGAAUUCAGUACUCAGAACCCCAGUGAGGGCUUUCCAGCUCUGAGCUGCUUCCCUGCCCUAGGAAGAGCUGGGCCUCUGCUGGUGGCGUGUCCCAGGGACUCUCCUACAGUAUUUUAUGACGAGCCAUUGUGUCACACUGGGUCUGCUCUGUCCACAUAUUUAUUCAACCAGUGAGCAGAGAUGAGUUCCUAACAUAUUAGUUAGGGCAUCCAUUUGUUAGAACAUCUGGAUUUUAUUUGCUGCUGCCAUGAAUAUUUAAUUAUCGUACGAAAAGCAGAAUGGCAGUGAAACAGACUAGAGACAAUUAUGCACAAAAUAAUGGGGAGAAGAAGAGGAGGGUGUUCAAGUGGAAGGUGUACUUCUGGUCAGUGUACUUCUGGAAAGUGAUACAUUUGUGUUUUAAUCUCUGUUAGACAGGGAGGAGGGGCAUGAUGCUGUGGCUAGAUUUUUCUCUCUAUACGUGUUGCUGGAUGUUGAAUUGAAAAUGACUUUGUGAUGACUCAAGAUGCUCUUUGGUUUACCAAAACCAGUUCAAGCAGACCAACGAGAAUCCUGUGCUCCAAUGUUAACUGCUCUAUUCUAUUUUUCUCAGUUCCUGGCAGGAUGAGAGAGGCAGUUGCCCUUGUUUAUACUCUACUCUCCUUGUUGGCGUCAAGAGCACUCUGCCACUGAAGAUAUGGUGUCAGGUGUCUCAGUAGAACUCCUUAUUUAUCAUGGUUAAUAGUUUCAAAAACCACAUCCUGAGAAAUUAAUGCUGAAGGUAGAAAAUUCUAUUAACAAGUUUGAAUUGUAUCAGUAGGUUUUGCUGAAACCAGUAUUUCCUUUCAUUCCACUUUGAUGAAAUGAAAGAACUUUGAUAAAAAGAGAAUUAAGCAUUUUUCCCCAGUUAUGCUCUCUCACGGAACAUGUUGCCCUCAGAGAUUUGAAUAAGUUCCUUUCUUUGAAUAAGAUUUAUUACCCUUUCCAGUUUUUGGCCAUUCUGGUUUUGUCUCUGGAAGCCCCCAAGAUAUCAUUUUAGCUUUCCUGAGUACCAAAACAAGGGUGCAAGAGAAAUCCUAGGAAAAAUUCUAAGCUGUGACAUUUCUAUGAUUUUGUUUUUUAUAGUGAAGUCUGAAGGGAAUAGCUUCUAAUUCUUGUUAACCUCAUUCUGGCAGAUUCUGCUGAGCAUUUGCUUUUCACAAAGGGGAGGGACCAGAAGCUCUGUCAUCAUGCUGAAGUGAAGGCCUCAGUUGUACAGCCAUUGACACUUCUGGUCCCCUGUAUCCCUGUGACAGAGUCCUUGCUUGGUGAGGUAACCACAUGCUUAGUUUUGUUCUUGUAAUACAUACACGAUCUGGUCCUAAAAAAGCUUGUUUGCUGUGACAGGUACUUGAAAUAUUUCUUGUGGCUGAAGCUUUCAAUAAAAGGAAGGCGAACCAGCUGUUUGAGGAAUCGGAAUGUUUGAAGUUGAGUGCAAUCAAACCGAUAUGGCUGUGCAGCAGAAAGGUGACAGUGUUAGAACUGAGAUAAA